rnacentral:rRNA from 1 species
GACGAACGCUGGCGGCGUGCCUAAUACAUGCAAGUAGAACGCUUAAGAGAGGAGCUUGCUCUUCUUGUAUGAGUUGCGAACGGGUUAGUAACGCGUAGGUAACCUGCCUUGUAGCGGGGGAUAACUAUUGGAAACGAUAGCUAAUACCGCAUAACAAUGGAUGACACAUGUCAUUUAUUUGAAAGGGGCAAUUGCUCCACUACAAUAUGGACCUGCGUUGUAUUAGCUAGUAGGUGAGGUAAUUGCUCACCUAGGCGACGAUACAUAGCCGACCUUAGAGGGUGAUCGGCCAACCUGGGACUGAGACACGGCCCAGACUACUACAGGAGGCAGCAGUAGGGAAUCUUCGGAAAUGGGGGUAACCCGGGACGAGCAAAGCCAGGUGAGUGAAGAAGGUGUUCAGAUCGUAAAGCUCUGUUGUAAGUCAAGAACGGGUGUGAGAGUGGAAAGUGCACACUGUGACGGUAGCUUACCAGAAAGGAACGGCUAACUACGUG